rnacentral:rRNA from 1 species
GUGGGGAAUAUUGGACAAUGGGCGAAAGCCUGAUCCAGCCAUGCCGCGUGUGUGAAGAAGGUCUUCGGAUUGUAAAGCACUUUAAGUUGGGAGGAAGGGCAGUAAGUUAAUACCUUGCUGUUUUGACGUUACCGACAGAAUAAGCACCGGCUAACUUCGUGCCAGCAGCCGCGGUAAUACGAAGGGUGCAAGCGUUAAUCGUAAUUACUGGGCGUAUAGCGCGCGUAGGUGGUUUUGUAAGUUGGAGGUGAAAUCCCCGGGCUCAACCUGGGAACUGCCUACAAAACUGCAUGACUAGAGUACGGUAGAGGGUAGUGUAAUUUCCAGUGUAGCGGUGAAAUGCGUAGAUAUAGGAAGGAACACCAGUGGCGAAGGCGACUACCUGGACUGAUACUGACACUGAGGUGCGAAAGCGUGGGGAGCAAACAGGAUUAGAAACCCGUGUAGUCC